CUUCCUGUGUCAAAUUUCAGUUUUCCUUAUUCUACUCGAGUAAUAUAACCAAAAUGAGUAAGUCGACAUAUUCUGCUGCUCAAUGAUGACAACAUUAUCUUCUGAGAAUAUAGAUUAAUUACUAGAAGGACAUGAAAUAUUCGGGUUACGAGUAAUAGGCGGUGUCUAAGAACGCUAAUCGCGCAAAUGAUUAAUAGCAACAGAAUCAAAUGAAGAAUCUAAAAGUCAAAUGCAUAGAAAGGAAAUGUGAAGAUCAUAACCACAAGUAUGACAUAAGGAGAAGCAAUCAUGCAUUUCGAAAUUGGUAUAAAGGAGAGGUUAACAUCAGAGAAGACUUACAGCAGAUUCCAACGAGUGUGUAGCUAAAGGUAGAAUCUUUGGUUAGCUUCCUUGCUAGCUCAACCAUAAAAUGAUUAUUACCUUAAAUUGGGAGGAGCAAAGCGCUAUUUUAUCAUCCAAUGAAAACAUUAAUAUCAAUGGACUGUUCAUUAUUUAUAAUAUCUUAAUGUUUCAUACAAAGGUUUACCUAGACUUCUUUGCAAUGAAAUUUUAUUUCAUAGUCUUUGAUUGAAUUAAAACAUCUUUUUAUUACAAUAAAUCAGAAGCGGGGUGACGUUUUUUUACGCCGUGAAUAGGCAGUUUAGUUAAUUAAUGUCUUUUGGUGUAAUCCCCACGCAUAAAACAUUGUUAUGUAUUUUCUUUAUAUAUGCAUAUUUUUUAGAACUAAAAUCUUUUAUAUUCAUACAGAAAAGAAAAUUAUCAUACUACUUAAUAUUAUUAAUCGAAUAUUUUUAAGGAUUUGUGAUUCGUUAAAACUUGAUCACAUGUACAUUUGUAUUUGCUCAGUUUGCACGCCAAUACUGUUGUGUUUAGCUUUUCGUAGGUCAAAAACAGCAUAUUGCACAGGGCAUACAGCAUGUUACUAAAAAUAGAUUCUAGAAAUCCCCAAUUUUACAUUGUUCAUGCUAUAGUUGUUGAUUAAUAAUAUAACAAUUGUAGCCUUUGGUUGAGGUCAAUACGAUGUUAUAUCGACCCAGAGAAGCAUAUCGACCUCGGACUUCGUCCUCAGUCAAUAUGCUUCUCUUAGGUCGAUAUAACCUCGUAUUGACCUCAUACAAAGGCUAUAAUUGUAUAAUAUAUCAUGCACGGUUGUAGUACUUAUAUUUGGUUAAAAAUGCAACGGAAAAAAAACCCCAGCAAACAACUGCAGUUUAGAAUUGAAAAUAUUGCAGAGUUUUUGGACAUCCACUUGGUUUGUUAACAUUACCUUACUUAUUAGUUUUAGAUAAAUAAUGCAGCCAUGAAGACCAAUUUUUAUGUCUCUAAUUCAGUUAGAUUUAAUCUGACCUAGAUUGAAUGAUCAGGUCAUAUGUACUUUUGAACACCUUCCAAUCUUUUUUACCUGUCCGGGUGUAUUGUAAACAUAUGUGUAUGUGUAAAAGUGAAUACGGUCAGCACUUGUCAGUCAUAGCCAACUACAUUUUAUUAACUUGAUGUAACAAAUUCAACAGACAGGUAAAAUAUAUUAUUAUUUGUAAUGUCUGACGAAGAAGAAAACAUUUUAGGAAAGUCAGCUUUCAGUUAACUUUUCACCAUUUAUCAAAAUAAAAUUGGCACAUCAAACACACCUACAACAUGCUUGUGAAUGAGCUUAUAAUUAUCAUUAGAUUUUAAAUUUAGAUUGAAAACUUAUUUUUAAACUGACUUGUAAAACUAGUUUUACAUGUUUAUAUUCUGUCACUUAAUUCUGAUUGGUUCUCUGCUUAACUAUUGACUCCACCCAAAGGCUGGAUGUACCUUACCUAAUAAUGACUUCAUAGUUGAUCUAGCAAGGAAGCUUACCAAAGAUUCUACCUUUAGCUACACACUCGUUGGAAUCGGCUGUAAAGCAAAGUUUACAGUAUGUUGAGAAAAGAUCAUAACAAGGUUUUGGUAUGUUGAGAAAAGUUCAGAACAAGCUAUUUUGUUUGAAGAGGAAUCACAGUGGUCAAGACUUAUCUUUGAAUAAAGUUAAUUGUAUAAGAAGUGAAGCCUUAACAGUCACAAGACAAUAAUUGAUAUUUAAUUGUUAUUUCAAAGAUUAACAUGACUAGCAUUUGUAUCACUUGAAUGUCAUAUUUUUCAAAUGAAGACAUAUAAGGCAAAAAAUUGGAUGUGACAAACAUUUGUUUGCAUUUAAAGACUUGAAGAACUUGUACUGUCUUAUGUAGAAUUCAGGAGAAUUUGUUUAAAAUGAAUUAUAAAAAUAUGUAUUCUAUCUUGAAUUAAUAAAAACAACAUAAAAGAU